rnacentral:rRNA from 1 species
CUACGCACUCCUACGGGAGGCAGCAGUGGGAAUAUUGCACAAUGGGCGCAAGCCUGAUGCAGCCAUGCCGCGUGUAUGAAGAAGGCCUUCGGGUUGUAAAGUACUUUCAGCAGUGAGGAAGGUGGGUAUGUUAAUAACAUACUCAUUUGACGUUAGCUGCAGAAGAAGCACCGGCUAACUCCGUGCCAGCAGCCGCGGUAAUACGGAGGUGCGAGCGUUAAUCGGAAUUACUGGGCGUAAAGCGCAUGCAGGUGGUUUGUUAAGUCAGAUGUGAAAGCCCGGGGCUCAACCUCGGAAUUGCAUUUGAAACUGGCAAACUAGAGUACUGUAGAGGGGGUAGAAUUUCAGGUGUAGCGGUGAAAUGCGUAGAGAUCUGAAGGAAUACCGGUGGCGAAGGCGGCCCCCUGGACAGAUACUGACACUCAGAUGCGAAAGCGUGGGGAGCAAACAGGAUUAGAUAACCGGUAG